rnacentral:rRNA from 1 species
AACGAACGCUGGCGGCAUGCCUAACACAUGCAAGUCGAACGAGACCUUCGGGUCUUGUGGCGCACGGGUGCGUAACGCGUGGGAACCUGCCCUUAGGUUCGGAAUCACUCCCCGAAAGGGGUGCUAAUACCGGAUAAUGUCUUCGGACCAAAGAUUUAUCGCCUUUGGAUGGGCCCGCGUUGGAUUAGCUAGUUGGUAGGGUAAAAGCCUACCAAGGCGACGAUCCAUAGCUGGUCUGAGAGGAUGACCAGCCACACUGGGACUGAGACACGGCCCAGACUCCUACGGGAGGCAGCAGUUGGGAAUAUUGGACAAUGGGCGAAAGCCUGAUCCAGCAAGGCCGUGUGAGUGAUGAAGGCCUUAGGGUUGUAAAGCUCUUUUACCCGGGAUGAUAAUGACAGUACCGGGAGAAUAAGCGCCGGCUAACUCCGUG